rnacentral:rRNA from 1 species
CCCUUAGAUGUCCUGGGCCGCACGCGCGCUACACUGACAUGUUCAACAAGCCUCCUAGUUCGACAGGAUUUGGGAAAUCUUUGAACGCAUGUCGUGAUAGGGAUAGAUCAUUGCAAUUAUUGAUCUUGAACGAGGAAUUCCUAGUAAACGCGAGUCAUCAGCUCGCAUUGAUUACGUCCCUGCCCUUUGUACACACCGCCCGUCGCACCUACCGAUUGAAGAGUUAGGUGAAUUGUUUUGAUCGAUAAGAUUUGACUAUGGUCAACUCUCGUUGUGAAAUUCUGUGAAUCUGACUGUUUAGAGGAAGGAAAAGUCGUAACA